rfam:Papilio machaon contig20983, whole genome shotgun sequence.
GCCAACGUCCAUACCACGUUGAAUACACCGGUUCUCGUCCGAUCACCGAAGUUAAUGAGCAACGUCGGGCGCGGUCAGUAUUUGGAUGGGUGACCGCCUGGGAACACCGCGUGAUGUUGGCU